rnacentral:tRNA from 1 species
GCGGCUAUGGCGAAACUGGCAGACGCGCCAGACUUAGGAUCUGGUUCCGAAAGGAAUGGGGGUUCAAGUCCCUCUAGCCGCA